rnacentral:rRNA from 1 species
AUUGAACGCUGGCGGCAGGCCUAACACAUGCAAGUCGAGCGGAUGAAGGGAGCUUGCUCCUGGAUUCAGCGGCGGACGGGUGAGUAAUGCCUAGGAAUCUGCCUGGUAGUGGGGGAUAACGUCCGGAAACGGGCGCUAAUACCGCAUACGUCCUGAGGGAGAAAGUGGGGGAUCUUCGGACCUCACGCUAUCAGAUGAGCCUAGGUCGGAUUAGCUAGUUGGUGGGGUAAAGGCCUACCAAGGCGACGAUCCGUAACUGGUCUGAGAGGAUGAUCAGUCACACGGGAACUGAGACACGGUCCAGACUCCUACGGGAGGCAGCAGUGGGGAAUAUUGGACAAUGGGCGAAAGCCUGAUCCAGCCAUGCCGCGUGUGUGAAGAAGGUCUUCGGAUUGUAAAACACUUUAAGUUGGGAGGAAGGGCAGUAAGUUAAUACCUUGCUGUUUUGACGUUACCAACAGAAUAAGCACCGGCUAACUUCGUG